GACGAACGCUGGCGGCGUGCUUAACACAUGCAAGUCGAACGGUAAGGCCCUUCGGGGUACACGAGUGGCGAACGGGUGAGUAACACGUGGGUGAUCUGCCCUGCACUUCGGGAUAAGCCUGGGAAACUGGGUCUAAUACCGGAUAGGACCACUGCCUGCAUGGGUGGUGGUGGAAAGCUUUUGCGGUGUGGGAUGGGCCCGCGGCCUAUCAGCUUGUUGGUGGGGUGAUGGCCUACCAAGGCGACGACGGGUAGCCGGCCUGAGAGGGUGACCGGCCGCACUGGGACUGAGAUACGGCCCAGACUCCUACGGGAGGCAGCAGUGGGGGAUAUUGCACAAUGGGCGGAAGCCUGAUGCAGCGACGCCGCGUGAGGGAUGACGGCCUUCGGGUUGUAAACCUCUUUCAGCACCGACGAAGCGCAAGUGACGGUAGGUGCAGAAGAAGGACCGGCCAACUACGUGCCAGCCGCCGCGGUAA
rnacentral:rRNA from 1 species